UUCAAUAUUGAUCAAAAAAUUGUUGACUAAUGUUAUUUUAUAUUUUUUUAAGAGUAAAACACAUGUACACAAAUAUUUCCUUUUACUAAUUAUGAGAUUUUCAGGUAGCGUGUGGAGAUUUCAUCUUAUGUUCAUGAGCGCACAACGUAUAAAAUAUAAAAUCAUAAGAAAUGUUUUCUGGUGGUGUGUAGCAGUUAACCGCAUUUAAGUAAAAAUAUUUUAAAAUGAUUGUUACCAGAGCUGAAUUACAUUGAGGUGAGUGCACUUAAUAUAAUUUGGGGUAUUGCAGGAAAAAUUAUAAAUUCCGAAAGUGUUUUUUACUUCCUGACAUGUUUAAAAUUAUUAUUCUCUAUGAGGGUUGUUUGAUACUGCAAGUAGUUUAUCAUGUUUAACAUGUGGAUUUACUAUUAUUAUUACUUAACCUGCAAUUGGGCUUUCACCCGGUGGCAAGAACUCCCACUCACUCCCCUCUCCCCCCCUCCCUCCAUCAGCUUUCUCCUCAGCUCCCUCCCAUCCCUGACCUCCACCAUUUCCUCCCCCAGCCCAUUCCACUCCCUCCCCGUCCUCACCAGGAAGGUGUUCCGCCCUCUCUCUGUCCGCCUCCACACCCUCUGGAGCUUACAUCUGUGGUCUCUUCGUCCUCUGUACUCCCCUCUAUGUACUUUGCUUCCCAAUUGCCCCCAUCCCCCUUCCCCCUUCAGCACCUUGAACAUCCUGACCAACCUUUCCACUCUUCUUCUCCUCUGUAACGUUUCCCACCCCAACUCCUUAAUCAUUUCCGUUGGGCUAUGCAGUUUCCCAUCCUGCCCCUCCCUCCUUCUCCACAUUCCCAUCACCCACCUAGCCGCUCUGCGCUGCACCCCUUCCAGCUCCUUCACCUCAGUCACCAGGUAGGAUUAUUCAUUACAAAUCUGUAAUAUUGAGAUACUGCCCUUGGGUUAGCUGGAUUAAAAAUACAGUGAAAUUUGUUAGGUUAGUAACAUUAUACGUAUAGUGAUUCUAAGUACAGUGGAAUUUACAUUUGGUUAGCUUGGGAUAGCACCAAUUAAAAAUUCUGUAAAAUCAAUUGAACGGUUGGAUGUUACUAACCUAAUCUAACCAACCAAUAUACAUUUUACAGUGAUUUUUUAGGUUAUUAUCUCACGUUGCUGCUUUUUGUAUGCAAAAUAAACUUUGGACACUUUUUUUUUAACUUUAAAUAUGUACCUGUAUUUACUCUGAAAAAAGUUUUUUCUAAAUUCAGACUGGUUUUUGAGAAAUCACUGUUUAUAGGUUACAUUACAUUACCUGUGCAGUAAAGGGCCUGUCACCAUGUUGUUCUUUAAUUGAGUUGCAGAUCUUGUUGUUUUUCAUACACAAAUUGUCUAUUUUUUAUUUGGAUAUUGCAAUGCAGUAACAUAAAUUAACACAUUAAAAAAGUUAUGUGACUCCUUAUUGUGCAUUCCAAACCCAAAGCAUCAGUCCUUGAGAGCGAUAUUUUUUAGCAGUUUAUAGGUGCAAAAUUCUGAUUUUUUACGUGAGACAACACAUAACCUGACAUAUAAAAUAAAUUUUCAUUUUGUAACAAAUGAUUCCUUUUAUACGUCAGGUUACGUGCUAUUGCAGGUAACUAAUCUGCACUUUGCGCCUCCAUACUGCUAUAAAAAAUCCCUGUCAAGGGUUGGCGUUUUGGUUUGGAUACACAUUAGAGACUCGUAACUUUUUUUAAAACUAUUAUUUACGUUUCAUUAGGUUAUAAUAUUCAAAUAAAAAAUAUAUACAUUCUUAUAUAUAUGGAAAACCACAGGAUCUGCUAUGCAAUUAGAGGGGAAAAUGGUAACAGCUGCUUCACUGCAUAAGCUAUCUAGCGUGACCUGCAAAAUGUGAUUUCUUGAAAACCAGUAGGAAUUAAGAAAAGCUGUUUAUAGUUUUAAUAGAGGAAGGUUUUUAGUGUCUGAAGCGGUAUUUUCAAAAUUUUAUAAUUUAAUUUAUGGAUAAGCAGCAACAAAAGAAAAUUACUUUUUUUAAAUUUAGCUAACCAACCAUUCACAUGAUUUUACAAAUUUUGUAUUGUUUAUACUUACCUACUUUAACAUUAAACUACUGUUAAACAAUUUAUUUCAAUUUUUUAAAAAUAUAUUUGGGAAUUAGCGCAGUAUAAUCAAAGACGUUUACUGUAUUGAUGAUUGAUUUACUUUAUUGAUGCACAAUGAAGUUGUAUAAUUGUUGGAUUGGUUAAGCAAAUUCAAGCAUCAAGGGUACUGAUCAAUGGUUUUUAACAUUAUAUUUUCUUAAUGAAUCCAUUGGUAAAACGUUAAAACACUGGAAUGGCUAAAUUUACAUCGACUGCUUAUGUUUUUUUCCGCAUGCUCACUUGAAAACAAUUACAGGGUUAUACUGUAGUUCACAGUUGCAAUACUUGGUUAGGUUAGUUACAUAAGUGCUGUUAAAUCAUGAAAAUGGUUAGGGAAAGGUAACUUCUUCAUAACUACUGUAAAAUGGUGUAAGCAAUUAUUCUUUAGGUAAGUUUACCUAGACUUUAAAAAUAAUUUAUUUGGCGAAGUACAUAGUACUAAGAAUUACUAUUUAUCAAAUUUGGUUUGUGUGGAAAAGUUGUUACUCUAGGAAAUUUCUGAAUCCAUCUUUGUAGGAAUAUAAACUAAUAUUAUUAGAAACAAAAAAAGAACAAUGUGUGGUAUAUUUUAAUUUUCUAACACGCUCUGAACUCUGCAGUUAUGCGAUUACCAAUAAUAAUUGUAAAUCAUUGCAAUAUACAUCCGACACAUUUUGUAGUGAUUUCACAACUGUACUAUGAAGUAAUGCCAUCGACUGCUGCAAAAUAACAUGCUGACAUCUAUUCUUGUGUAGGCAUUUUGUUGAUACGACUAAAAUAUGAACAUAUAGGAUAUAUAUAGAAUCUUACAAAUUUUGGUAACCUACCUACUAAUACUCUCCCCGAAGACUUUGGUUAGAUACUUAAAAAAAAAAAAAAAAAAAUUAACUGCUUAUGUGACAUGCAUUACGUGAAAUUAAUUCAACUUGUAAACAUUUUGCUUGAGUCAAAGCCUAGAUUUGCUUAAGCUAAUAACAAGCAAUUACAUCACUUGAGGCCCUGAGAAACAAACUUCUAAAAUUGUGUAGUUACUUGGAUUGUUAAAUACCUAGUUUUUCUGCAAUAAUGGGCACAAGAGUAAUAGAAUUAUGUUUUUCAUAUAAUUUUUUUUCACAUAAAUGAGUUUUUGUCAAAAAGUAUUUGGAAAAAAUAUCUAUUUGAAAGGACAAAGAAAAAUGUUAAUUGUAGUACAUAAAUGAGAAUUUACCAAAAUAUUUAAUGUAUCAAAUUUCUAACUAAAAUGGUUUUGAAAUUAAUUUAUCAUUCUGGUAUGCAUAACUUUUUUCUUUGAUACAUUUAUUUAUCAGUUUCAUUUCUCUUUAGUACAAUAUAAAUCAUUUAACUUUGAUUUCUUUUUUGUUUCAGGCUUGUGGAGAACAGCUUUUUUUUAAUCUACUCUUUGGCUGGCGAAUGUAAAUAAGCAAUGAUUUCGUGAAUGCAGCGAGAGAGUUUAUUUGAUGUAUUUUAAAAUCACUGAUAAUAUUUAUUGAUGUAUUUUAAAAUCACUGAUAAUAUUUAUUGAUGUAUUUUAAAAUCACUGAUAAUAUUUGUUUUGUGGCUGGAAGAUGGUAACCAUGGUGACUUGUGAAUUUUUAUGAAGAUUAAUAAAAAGCAGUAAAAAUUA